rnacentral:rRNA from 1 species
GACGAACGCUGGCGGCGUGCUUAACACAUGCAAGUCGAACGGAAAGGCCCUGCUUUUGUGGGGAGCUCGAGUGGCGAACGGGUGAGUAACACGUGAGUAACCUGCCCUUGACUUUGGGAUAACUUCAGGAAACUGGGGCUAAUACCGGAUAGGAGCUCCUGCUGCAUGGUGGGGGUUGGAAAGUUUCGGCGGUUGGGGAUGGACUCGCGGCUUAUCAGCUUGUUGGUGGGGUAGUGGCUUACCAAGGCUUUGACGGGUAGCCGGCCUGAGAGGGUGACCGGCCACAUUGGGACUGAGAUACGGCCCAGACUCCUACGGGAGGCAGCAGUGGGGAAUAUUGCACAAUGGGCGGAAGCCUGAUGCGGCAACGCCGCGUGCGGGAUGACGGCCUUCGGGUUGUAAACCGCUUUCGCCUGUGACGAAGCGUGAGUGACGGUAAUGGGUAAAGAAGCACCGGCUAACUACGUG